GACGAACCGUGCGAACGUUAUUCGGAAUCACUGGGCUUAAAGCGCGUGUAGGCGGGCCGGCACGUCGGUCGCUGAAAUCCCCCGGCUCAACCGGGGAAGGGGCGCCGAUACGGCCGGCCUGGAGGGACGUAGGGGGGGCUGGAACUUCCGGUGGAGCGGUGAAAUGCGUUGAGAUCGGAAGGAACGCCCGUGGCGAAAGCGAGCCCCUGGACGUCUACUGACGCUGAGACGCGAAAGCCAGGGGAGCAAACGGG
rnacentral:rRNA from 1 species